UUCCGGAGCUGUGAGUGGUGGCUCUUGUGAUUCCUGGAUAGCGGUGGCUGUGGAGAGCGCUACCGCGUGGCCUCUUGCCGGCGGGGGCGGUGGGCAAGUCGCGCGGCUGCCCUGAGCCCAGCGAUGCAUCCACGGCAGCCCGACUAGGUCCGAGGUCCCGAGCCCGGAACGCUGGGAUGGCAGCGGCGGGGCCAGUCCUCGGCCGCAUUGUCGGUGGGACCUCGCGAGGCCUGAAGCGGACCGCAGUCUGCGUUCCCACGCCAGGAGUUAGGGACAUCGGUUUGAGUGCAUUUGAGUUCACUGCUCGUCGACCUUGUAUGCCAGGAAGUUUUUAAUAUGCGCGAGGGUUUUUUGUGGAAGGGAACGGCCUGUCACAGCGUGGAAGAGUCACUUAAGAUUUAGAUCAUAACAGCCAUGUCAAGGUGCAGAACUUGGUGGAAAUCGAAUAAACACCAACUCUGCAGGUGAAAGAUGGGUGCUUGAAGCAUGGACGGCUGCUAGCUGACUACUACCUGGGAGCACACAUGUGACCCAAGGGUUUUUUGAUGAAUUUGAAAAGCUGCUCUUCAAAGGAGUUGCUUGGAUCAUUUAAAAAUUUUAAAGAGUAUGUGGAGUACCCUAAACACUUUCCCACAAUCUGUAAAUACAUAAUUCAAACAAUGAGUCUGUGAAUAAAUAUUUAAAUGUGCA